UACGGGGGGGGCAAGCGUUGUUCGGAAUUACUGGGCGUAGAGGCUCGUAGGCGGCCAACUAAGUCGGAUGUGAAAUCCCCAGGCUUAACUUGGGAACUGCAUCCGAUACUGGAUGGCUUGAAUCCGGGAGAGGGAUGCGGAAUUCCAGGUGUAGCGGUGAAAUGCGUAGAUAUCUGGAGGAACACCGAUGGCGAAGGCAGGUCUCUGGGCAUUAACUGGACGCUGAGGAGCGAAAGCAUGGGGAGC
rnacentral:rRNA from 1 species